GGGUGACGAUCUUUCAGGGCGGAACCAAAAGUUGAGGAAGUUUUGGUUCCGCCCGGAUGUUUCCGUCCAGACCGGAAAGACGGGAACACCGGACAUCCGGCAGAUUCGCGGAGGCUGUAAUCAGCCGAUUGGGCACAGCUGUGCCUAGUUGAAGAGAUCGCCGGGCAAUUGGAUGAUUGAGGAACAGAGAGGAGUAUAUAAAGCACAGUUAGAACACAGUUAGGGGUGCUUAGUGUGUGCUGGGAAACGGAGCUGUGCUCAUCGUUGGACGUGGUGGUUGUUUGUGUUUCUCUCUCUCCCUCUCUCUCGUUGUAAAUCUUUAUUGUGGACCUGCUGGAGUGAACAGGAAAACCCUAUGGGCAGGAAGGAACGCUGUUCUAACCAAUACUGAAGGAGUAAAGCAGGAAGAAAAAUUGACCUUCUGGUACAACGUAAACAAAGGCUAUUCGCCGUGAGUAUACCCUUUUCUGUGUGGAGUAACUGGCAAAAGUUAACUUGUGUAACUAUUGGAAACCUCCAGGAGAAGGAGGGCGGCCCUACCCCUAUAAGAGUGUGGUGGGCGAGCCGUGAGAAGUCAAACUUCAAACAGCCGCCGCAACGAGACUUAUUGUGGUCGUAUUUCCCAUCGCCUUAUCGUAGCCCAAGCGCAGUGGAGGACACCGGGCGCUUCCCUUGUUGUGGUGCACUUAUAGUGUGGUGAGUGAGACUGUGUAAUAAAUCUUUUUCACGUUUGGAGUGGUGCUGUGUAUUGCUGUGGGUUGCUGUGUGUCUUGUAGACGAAGCCCCGCAUCAUCCAUUUUCUUCCACUGGGCAGAGGACGGAGAGGCCAACGACUACAGAAAUCACUGUUACUAUACGUAGUGUGCUGUUCGGAGUACGAAGGGACACAGACUGAGAGCUGUCCGUGACCGUGAGUAAACCAGUGGAAACCUUCGUGGUGUAAACUUACCUGUGUCUGUUUUGUCGCAGAGUUAGAGGCGAAAGGGUCCGCCGCCCCGUGGUCUCUACGAAAAGGGCGCCCCCGUCUAAGAAUCGAUCGGCCUAUGGGCAUUGGAGAUAGGGCAGCGCUCGACCCGGUGAGGUGGUGUGUGACCUUCGCCCCUCUGCUGACCUACGGAGGAGAACGUGAUACCUACCCAGAAAGUUGUAAACAGCAAAGCCGGUGAGAAAUACUCGAAGUCUCAGUAACAGUGUCUUUGUGUCCUGGCGGCCACCUGUGGAGAGAGAGCAGAACGCAAGUGAACCAUUGAAGAGCAGACUGUGAACGUGAUACCUACCUGGAAAGCUGUAAACAGCAGAGCCGCGGCCACCUGUAGAGAGAGAGCAGAACGAAAGUGAAACAUUGAAGAGCAGACUGUGAACGUGAUACCUACCCAGAAAGCUGUAAACAGCAGAGCCGUGGCCUCCUGUGGAGAGAACGGAAAACGAGAAGGAACAUGAGGAAAAUGGACUGUGUGAAGAUACAGUGGUGGUGGAGGAGAGCCUAGAGUGGCCAUUGUUUUAAGUCCCCCGUUCCCCUUCCUUAUUUAAUGCUUUUAAGUAAUUUAAUAAAGGAUAUUUUAAUUUUA